AUGUACUUACUACAUAUAAUAUAUGAGCUAUUCUUUUCGAACAACAAUAUAUUAACGCACACUCUUAACCGAUUGGCUCACACUCUUACAACAAUAUUCGAUUUCCUGCUUCGUUUCCUUUCUCCUCACUGCACUAUCCCUCUUCAAUCUCAGAUAAAAAAUCUCACAAUGGAAGACAUGGACAUUGGCAUCGUCUGUGACGACGGUUCCCCAGGAUCAGCAGCAUCAAGGACAGCGACGCCUGCGCCCAAUGAGAAUGACUAUCUGAUAGUAAUUCCUUAUGCCCACAUAUCCGCCAUGAUGCUGAAAGCUCUGAAGUUACCCCUUGCAACUUAUUAUCACAAGAUAUGCCCAGGCGGAAAGAAUCGUGUGACGGUUACUUUCAUUUCUUCUUUGUAA
rnacentral:rRNA from 1 species